UCUCGUCACAUACGCUUCACAAUGAAGUUAACAAUUAAUUGGAAAUAAUUUAUUCGAUUUGGACACAAGAUAAACUUACUUUUCCUAUAUCAUUAAGCGAAAAGAUAAGUAUGGAUUAUAAUGAGUUUUUCGAAAUUUUGUCUAUUUCGAUGCCUGCUAUAUUUUUUCCCCUCAAACGCUUUAUUAUACUACUGAAAUGAGAAAUCGAGUCGUCGUUUCAAUUUUAAAACAAAUGAUAACAUUUUUUAAAAUGAUUUUUUAAUUUUAGUGACGUAAGGAAAAAAGUUGUAUUGAAAUAAACGAGAUUCGUCAAUGAAAAUAACAAAUUAAGAAAAUUAUUUAUUAUCUUUGUUAAUUGAAGGAGGCCUUCUUGCAAGUCAAAAAAAAUUCCAAGAAAUUCCUUCAACAAAAAUUAACUCCAAGUAAAACAGUUUGUUAACUCGAGAAGUCAGUUGAUCCGAUUUUCAAUUCUUCAUUUUCUGUUGAUUUGCUAAAAAUCACGCGUUGAAAUGUAUUACGCUAGUGAAAUGAAAUUUGUCCAACAUUAUUAAGAAUUAAUUGUCGAGUUGAUAAGAAGAGACGUUACGCCAGAGCGAUAACGAGGAGAGUGCAAAAUGGGAGGCUCCGGGAGUGAUGCCGGUCUGCACAGUGCGUGAUGACUGUUUCGCAAUGUGGCAGCCGUUUUAGAACGUCUCGCAAUCGACGACGACGAGGUAUCGAAAAGAGAAGAAAGAGGAUAGAACCGAACCAGGAGAUGACACGUGUUGCAAUUCUAGCAAAAGGGAGGAGUGGCUGUACACUGACCGGACGUUGACCGGUAAAAAUGCAACGCGAGGUCAUCGAGUAGUAAUGACUCGCAACAAAAAGAACAGACAUAUACUCUCGUAGACCUUGGCACGUAACGAGACGGUUGCCGUCCUUCGGAUAAUGAAACGAAAUCUUAGAUCAGUCGAGGGUAUAUUUGGAUGUAAAGAUUAACUCGGAUCCGACUUUUGCGUGGAAUUUGAAAAUUGAAAGUCAGAAGAACUUGGACAGUCGUUAUUGAAUGAAAACUUUCUCCAAAAAGGAAUUUUGUUUCACAAUGUGGAACGAUCUAGAUGAAGAAUAAUAAUUUCCUAUCGCACAUUAAUUUUUGUGUUACAGAUGCUUUUUAAUCCUCGAAUCUUUAUACUUUUUGUAUUAUUAUUGUAGAGCUCGUUAUUGAAAAUUGCUAUUAAUUUCCAGUUAUAAAUUUUACAAUAAUAAUACAAAAAAUAUAGAAUUAUCUAUCAGAAAAAGCCAAAUUUAUGUUUAAUCACUUAAAAACUUCACCUACUUCACAAAAAUCUGACAAAGGAUUACCCAUUCUUAUUAAUUUAUUAAGCUGUGUCAUGAUCAAAAUUGCAGGAAAUUUUUACAUUGUCGGGAAAAUGAAAAUGACAGGUUUGAUGAAACAUCCUUUUAACUAUAAGUAACUGUAAUUAUUAAUAUAUAGAUAUAUAAAUGUACGAUAUAAUUAUUGUAACAAGCUAACGUCUAAUUACAUCGUAUAAUAAUACAAUUACGAUAAUAAUAACAUUAUGUACAAUAAUACACAAGUAUAAUUGAUACAAGUUGUUAUUAUUCUUUCAUCAUUUCACAGCCGAGCAAUACAUCAAUUAAAAUUACCUUAGAAUCAUUCCAUAAGAAUGUUGCAUAAUUUCUACUCGCAGCCAGAUAAAAUCUGCAAGUUGCGCGUGAUUCACGUAUGUACAUAAGAAUACAAACUAUUGUGUCUCAAACGAUAUCUCUGAAAAUAUUUGCUUGAUAACAUUUUCCUUCUUUCUUUGUUCUUUUUUCUUUUUUAAGGCACAUGUAAUUGCAGACGCACAAUUAUUCAGGCCGCGAACGACCUCGACCCGCUUCUUUCUUCGUCUGGUUAUGCGCGAGACAGGCUGACCAUUAUCUUUAGCGUUCAGCUGGUUCAAGGUGGGAUAAAUCCUUUCUUUCUUUCUCGACGAACACCUUUCCACAUCCGACUAGCAACCGAAUUAACUUUUUGUUCAACAAAAUCGUAAUAUUUUCGCAGUUAUGAUUAAGUACACUUAAGUAAGACAAAAUAGACAAAACAAAUAAUAAGUUUAUUGCUUCCCGAUAAUUUCUAUCCGGUGA